CUUAACACAUGCGAGUCGAGGGGCAGCAUGGUCUUAGCUUGCUAAGGCCGAUGGCGACCGGCGCACGGGUGAGUAACACGUAUCCAACCUGCCGUCUACUCUUGGACAGCCUUCUGAAAGGAAGAUUAAUACAAGAUGGCAUCAUGAGUCCGCAUGUUCACAUGAUUAAAGGUAUUCCGGUAGACGAUGGGGAUGCGUUCCAUUAGAUAGUAGGCGGGGUAACGGCCCACAUAGUCUUCGAUGGAUAGGGGUUCUGAGAGGAAGGUCCCCCACAUUGGAACUGAGACACGGUCCAAACUCCUACGGGAGGCAGCAGUGAGGAAUAUUGGUCAAUGGGCGAGAGCCUGAACCAGCCAAGUAGCGUGAAGGAUGACUGCCCUAUGGGUUGUAAACUUCUUUUAUAAAGGAAUAAAGUCGGGUAUGCAUACCCGUUUGCAUGUACUUUAUGAAUAAGGAUCGGCUAACUCCGUGCCAGCAGCCGCGGUAAUACGGAGGAUCCGAGCGUUAUCCGGAUUUAUUGGGUUUAAAGGGAGCGUAGAUGGAUGUUUAAGUCAGUUGUGAAAGUUUGCGGCUCAACCGUAAAAUUGCAGUUGAUACUGGAUAUCUUGAGUGCAGUUGAGGCAGGCGGAAUUCGUGGUGUAGCGGUGAAAUGCUUAGAUAUCACGAAGAACUCCGAUUGCGAAGGCAGCCUGCUAAGCUGCAACUGACAUUGAGGCUCGAAAGUGUGGGUAUCAAACAGGAUUAGAUACCCUGGUAGUCCACACGGUAAACGAUGAAUACUCGCUGUUUGCGAUAUACAGCAAGCGGCCAAGCGAAAGCGUUAAGUAUUCCACCUGGGGAGUACGCCGGCAACGGUGAAACUCAAAGGAAUUGACGGGGGCCCGCACAAGCGGAGGAACAUGUGGUUUAAUUCGAUGAUACGCGAGGAACCUUACCCGGGCUUAAAUUGCAGAUGAAUUACGGUGAAAGCCGUAAGCCGCAAGGCAUCUGUGAAGGUGCUGCAUGGUUGUCGUCAGCUCGUGCCGUGAGGUGUCGGCUUAAGUGCCAUAACGAGCGCAACCCUUGUUGUCAGUUACUAACAGGUUCCGCUGAGGACUCUGACAAGACUGCCAUCGUAAGAUGUGAGGAAGGUGGGGAUGACGUCAAAUCAGCACGGCCCUUACGUCCGGGGCUACACACGUGUUACAAUGGGGGGUACAGAGGGCCGCUACCACGCGAGUGGAUGCCAAUCCCAAAAACCUCUCUCAGUUCGGACUGGAGUCUGCAACCCGACUCCACGAAGCUGGAUUCGCUAGUAAUCGCGCAUCAGCCACGGCGCGGUGAAUACGUUCCCGGGCCUUGUACACACCGCCCGUCAAGCCAUGGGAGCCGGGGGUACCUGAAGUGCGUAACCGCGAGGAGCGCCCUAGGGUAAAACUGGUGACUGGGGCUAAGU
rnacentral:rRNA from 1 species